rnacentral:rRNA from 1 species
AACUAACGCUGGCGGCAUGCCUAACACAUGCAAGUCGAACGAGACCUUCGGGUCUAGUGGCGCACGGGUGCGUAACGCGUGGGAAUCUGCCCUUAGGUACGGGAUAACACAGGGAAACUUGUGCUAAUACCGUAUGAUGACGAAAGUCCAAAGAUUUAUCGCCUAAGGAUGAGCCCGCGUAGGAUUAGCUUGUUGGUGAGGUAAAGGCUCACCAAGGCGACGAUCCUUAGCUGGUCUGAGAGGAUGAUCAGCCACACUGGGACUGAGACACGGCCCAGACUCCUACGGGAGGCAGCAGUGGGGAAUAUUGGACAAUGGGCGAAAGCCUGAUCCAGCAAUGCCGCGUGAGUGAUGAAGGCCCUAGGGUUGUAAAGCUCUUUCGGCGGGGACGAUAAUGACGGUACCCGCAGAAGAAGCCCCGGCUAACUUCGUGCCAGCAGCCGCGGUAAUACGAAGGGGGCUAGCGUUGCUCGGAAUCACUGGGCGUAAAGGGCGCGUAGGCGGACGUUUAAGUCGGGGGUGAAAUCCUGAGGCUCAACCUCAGAAUUGCCUUCGAUACUGGGCGUCUCGAGACCGGAAGAGGUGAGUGGAACUGCGAGUGUAGAGGUGAAAUUCGUAGAUAUUCGCAAGAACACCAGUGGCGAAGGCGGCUCACUGGUCCGGUUCUGACGCUGAGGCGCGAAAGCGUGGGGAGCAAACAGGAUUAGAUACCCUGGUAGUCCACGCCGUAAACGAUGGAUGCUAGCCGUUGGCGAGCUUGCUCGUCAGUGGCGCAGUUAACACUUUAAGCAUCCCGCCUGGGGAGUACUGUCGCAAGAUUAAA